CCGCUUGGCGCCAGCGCGACAUCGUAAAGCUGUGAAAUACGGCGGGAUGCUUUGCGCAACGCCAGACAGUGACAGGAGAUCUCUCCCACGCGAGUUUGAUUGAUCAUGCAAAUGCCGUUAACACCAAUGUUGAAUUCUUAUUUCCAGCAUAUGCUAGUUUUUGUUAAUUGCAAGCAUAUGCAGAUUCUUGUUUUGGGGCUCUUGAAUGAGAAGUCCAAUCCCCCAUAUCGGCUACAAUAAGGGUAUAUGCCCAUAUUUGCUAAGGUGCUUCAGGAG
rnacentral:misc_RNA from 1 species